GCCGGGAUGGCGGAAUUGGCAGACGCAGUGGAUUCAAAAUCCACCGAGUCUCGCUCCCGGCACCA
rnacentral:tRNA from 1 species